rnacentral:rRNA from 2 species
UACGGGGGGGGCAAGCGUUGUUCGGAAUUACUGGGCGUAAAGGGUCUGUAGGUGGCUUGCUAAGUCAGACGUGAAAUCCCUCAGCUUAACUGGGGAACUGCGUCUGAGACUGGCGAGCUUGAGGGCAGGAGAGGAACGCGGAAUUCCAGGUGUAGCGGUGAAAUGCGUAGAUAUCUGGAGGAACACCGGUGGCGAAGGCGGCGUUCUGGACUGCAUCUGACACUGAAAGACGAAAGCCAGGGGAGCAAACGGG